AGAAUGACGCUAGCGAUAUGCUUAACACAUGCAAGUUGAACGUUGUUUUCGAAUCAGAAUGAGAACAAAGUAGCGAACGGGUGCGUAACACGUGGGAAUCUGCCGAACAGUUUGGGCCAAAUCCCGAAUGAAUAAAAGCUAAAAAGCGCUGUUUGAUGAGCCCACGUAGUAUUAGGUAGUUGGUUAGGUAAAAGCUGACCAAGCCUACGAUGCUUAGCUGGUCUUUUCGGAUGAUCAGCCACACUGGGACUGAGACACGGCCCCAGACUCCUACGGGAGGCAGCAGUGGGGAAUCUUGGACAAUGGGCGAAAGCCUGAUCCGGCAAUAUGGCGUGAGUGAAGAAGGGCAACGCAGCUUGUAAAGCUCUUUCAUCGAGUGUGCGAUUGUGACAAGACUCGAAUAAGAAGCCCCGGCUAACUCCGCGCCAGCAGCCGC
rnacentral:rRNA from 1 species